CCUACGGGAUGCAGCAGUGGGGGAUAUUGCACAAUGGGGGGAACCCUGAUGCAGCGACGCCGCGUGGGUGAAGAAGCGCCUCGGCGCGUAAAGCCCUGUCAGCAGGGAAGAAAAUGACGGUACCUGAAGACGAAGCCCCGGCUCACUACGUGCCAGCAGCCGCGGUCAUACGUAGGGGGCAAGCGUUAUCCGGAUUUACUGGGUUUAAAGGGGGCGCAGACGGGGAUGCCAGCCAGGAGUGAAAGCGCGGGGCCCAACCCCGGGACUGCCGUUGGAACUGCGUGGCUGGAGUGCAGGAGGGGCAGGCGGAAUGCCUGGUGUAGCGGUGAAAUGCGUAGAUAUCAGGAGGAACACCGGUGGCGAAGGCGGCCUGCUGGACUGCAACUGACGUUGAGGCCCGAAAGCGUGGGGAGCAAACAGGAUUAGAUACCCGAGUAGUC
rnacentral:rRNA from 1 species